UGGGGAAUAUUGCACAAUGGGCGAAAGCCUGAUGCAGCGACGCCGCGUGAGGGAUGACGGCCUUCGGGUUGUAAACCUCUUUCAGCAGGGAAGAAGCGAAAGUGACGGUACCUGCAGAAGAAGCGCCGGCUAACUACGUGCCAGCAGCCGCGGUAAUACGUAGGGCGCAAGCGUUGUCCGGAAUUAUUGGGCGUAAAGAGCUCGUAGGCGGUUAGUCGCGUCUGCUGUGAAAACUCGAGGCUCAACCUCGGGCUUGCAGUGGGUACGGGCUGACUAGAGUGCGGUAGGGGUGACUGGAAUUCCUGGUGUAGCGGUGGAAUGCGCAGAUAUCAGGAGGAACACCGAUGUCGAAGGCAGGUCACUGGGCCGCAACUGACGCUGAGGAGCGAAAGCAUGGGGAGCGAACAGGAUUAGAUACCCUGGUAGUCCAUGCCGUAAACGUUGGGCACUAGGUGUGGGGUCCAUUCCACGGAUUCCGUGCCGCAGCAAACGCAUUAAGUGCCCCGCCUGGGGAGUACGGCCGCAAGGCUAAAACUCAAAUGAAUUGACGGGGUCAUAGCUAUUU
rnacentral:rRNA from 1 species